UCAGACAAAGCUAAACCUGUCGCGAGGCAGGGGCGGAAAGCCGCGGAUCUCAAUGAGAAAGCCGGGCUGCCUCAU
rnacentral:ncRNA from 1 species